AAGAAUGUGUCCAUCAGAUAUUAUUCAGACUAGUGGCAACAAAAAAUGUAAACUAUAAAGUAUUCCUGAUGUUUCUCUUUUACAGAAAGCUCUGGGAAACAAAACAGCUGGUGUGAUCUAGGCUGCCUACAAAUACAACCGAGAUGCAUUCUUGGGAAUAUGCAGAAUUAAAAUGAAGCCACAAAGAAAAUGGAGACCUGGACUUGAACAAAUGAAACCAACUAUUUGCCUUUAUCGGUGAAAUUCUGAAAAAAACAUAAAUGGCUCACUGCAUUCAUCACAUGGAUCUCUGCUGAGGACUGCUGAUGACCAGGGAAUAAUGGAUGGGCCAGCACUUCUCUAGUGUCCAGCAAUUACAAGAACUGGACAUAACAUUCUCAUCCAAGAACUGCUGAUUUCACCACAGAAAACCAAGGUUGUGCAAAAUGCUUCUAAAGCAUUCAUCAGAAGAGGAGCAGAGACACUGUCCCUGUGCCUGCUACAGAGAGAUCCAUUUUACAGUUUCUGCUCAGAUCACUCUUACAUUUUGCAUGUUUCCAGUGAAUAAUUAUGUGAAAUAACAUACCAGCUAUGCACUGUGAGUGCCCCGUAGCCAAAAAACAAAGCAGUUCUCCCUCCCUAAUCAUACCACUGUCCUAAAUACCCUUAUUUAAUUCAACAGUGACAACAUGCAGACUCUUGGGGUGCAUGUGGGGGCUCCAGCACUUGACCCUUUUCAUCCUGAAACAUCCCCAAAUAUCAUCAUAACCCUGUUUCCACUGCACAGACCCAACGUAUCUUUAAGUAUCUGCAUAAAUAAAAAAACCACUCCCCACAUUUUGGAACUAAUUUAGACAUUACUGUACAAUAUACAUUUUAUUCUUUACCAAGAGCUCACCACAUAAAUAUAGUUAUAAUGUUCCAGUCAGGACUGGAACUUACCACAAAAAAUUUGAUAGUUAUAUUUACAUUUUCCAUAGCCCAAAAUGGUUUAAGUGUAGAAGUAUAUUAUAUUGAUUAUGUAUCCAUUGUUGGGAACUAGUUGUGCCAAAGUCCCUUAAACCAUGAAUAUUUAUCUAGACUGGAUGGGUGUUUUUCAUUUUGUAUCUUCAAUAAUGCCUCUUUGCAGCUAAAAUAGCACUCCAACUUAUUUGACAAUUAUAAUUAUUCUUUAUAUACAAUUUUGUCCAUUAGUUAACAAAAUAAUGCAGAGGUCUCCCUGAAAAGCCACACUUUCAUAAUUUAUUCUUCUUCUUUUUAUUUUAUUUUGCCAGAAAACCUCAGCUGUGUGAAAUUAAAAGUUGAAAAGACAGUUUUAAUUAUUGUCUUCUUCAGAAAAGGGUUCCUAAAAUCGCUGAAGUGAUCUGUUUUGACAGUUUCAAAACAAAAUAAUCCCUUUUGUAUGUUUGAAAUGAUUUUUAAUUUGAAAUUUAAGACCCAAAAAAUAUUGCAUCCAAUGAAAAUGAAAUGUUUGAAAGGUAAAACAUGCUUUCAGCAAAACGUUUUGCUGUCUUACUGUAACUGUACACUCUUGUAUUGAUUUGAAACCUAAUACAGAUUUAAAACUAUUUUAAUACAUAUAUACAUACAUAUAUAUAUAUAUAAAAAUAAAGAUUUAUCUCUCAGUAUACAUAUAGAGAGAUAGGAAAACAUAUGCAAAUGAAAAGUAAGAUGGAGAAAUAAAUAUAAAUAUAUAAAUGAGCACACACUUAUGCCCACCAGAGCCAUCUUUGAAAUCUAGUGGGCAGUUUGAGAUUAAGACUGGCCAUCAAACAGAAUCUUAAAAAUUUACAUGCUUCCUGCACUCAGGUGCACCAACAAUAAACUGUAAAAUCAGUUGGGUACUUCCUUAAAAUAAAAGAAAACAAUUCUAUCAAUAAAUGCCUUUCUUCCAAGGAUGAAAGGAAAUAAAGGGAGUUUGAGGCGUUGAAGGGAAUUGAAAGUAUCCAUCUCUGAGUUUACAUUAAAAUCUCAUUAUGUGCUUAGGCCUCUGAAAGGGGUUUGGCUAUAAACACAGACUUUUAGAGCAGCAGCCUAAAACUUCAAGGACUGCUGCUGGUAUAAGAAAUAGAUGAUAGAUACUUUAAAGAGAAAAUCUGAAGUGUUGGUAAGUUAGUUGAUAAAGACCAACUUUAGGAGAAAGCAGAGAAACGUGCUGAACAGAAGAUUUAGGGCUUUUUGCCAAACAUCUUCCAAAACCUGAAAAACUUAUUGCUUUCUAAGCAUAAUUAAAAACUUAAAAACUGUAUUUUACUCCUGACUUUCCUCAGCUCUCCCUAAGUGUGUAACUGAUAGUAUUAUUCUCACUGUACAGCUUAGCAGUAGGCUUAUAUUAGCCCAGUUUAAAUAUUUCACCCAGCUGGAAGUUGUCAGCACAAGGAAUAGGAGCAAGGGAGCUGCAAACAUUCUCCUGCAAGUACAUGCAUGCUGGCACCCUUUCAGGUUUAUUUGUUUUUAAGGUUGUGCUAAGGAUGUUAGGCUUUGAUUCCAUCAUUUGUCCUGGUUUUGUCCCAUUUACUGGCAGUGGAUGAUUCAGAUUUCAAACACACUGCCUUCAAAAGAAAAAACACUACAUUUAUCUUUGUCUUAAAAUCGGUGUGCAGUGAAACCCUGCACAUUCCCAUCUCCCCCAGUGCCUGACAAGAGUUUUUUGAAACAGUGAAAAUUGAAUAGAUCUUGAUCUUACAGACUGGUUGGGAGAAGGAGGGGUGGGCAGAAGCAGAAAAUAAUUGCUAGAAAAAUAUUUCCUGAAAAUAAUCCCUUGCAGUUUUCAUUUCCUUGUUCUAACUUACAGAUGUGACUGGCCUAGAACACCAAGACACUCUGCCACCAUCCAAAAACUUUGAGAAAGUUUGGAUUCAAGUGCUAACAUCAAAUUUAAAAUUUGAAAUGUGUAUAUCAUAGUUCUUAUUCAAGCAUAGCCCCAAAACUGGGAACAUAUAAACAUAAAAUCAAAAAGAAAAUUAAGAUUCCUGCUGCUAAAUAGCUCUGCAAUAAAAAAGUCUGUAAAUAAAAAAUAAAAAUAAAAAAGAGAAAAUUCUUCCAGAGGCAAGAAGCCUGCAGUAUUUUGUAGCAAUCUACUUAGUGAGAGUUUUGCAAAAUAUAAUGGAUUGAAGGAUUCCUAUUUGUGCAAUUUGCAUUUGGUCACACGCAACAAUAAAACAUUCAUGGACUUUUUACUCCUAUAGAUAGAAGUCCCUUCUUACUGCUUUGAUACAAAAUCAGAAUAUUCAUGUAAAUGAGCCACAGUCAAAAGCAGGUCUGCAGGAAUUUCUGACAUUGGACUUGCAACUGCUCAUUGGAAACUAUGUUCUUCUCACAGAAGCAAAGUUUGCAAAGACAGAGCUUUCCUUACAGCUACUCCACAGUCAGAAGAAGACAAUUCAGUUUUUCUCACAUCUGACUAAGCAAUCAGCUAACAACAAAGUCCAAAAUAUUCAGGCCAUAAUCUCAACUAACUGAGAAGUGUUCAUCCAGCAAUGCAGUUUAAUGAAGUGCUCUAUUCCUCAUCCCUCAGCAGCUCCUGCCCUAACAGAGGAACAGACCCCAUUCCACCAGCAGCUGUGAGCAGUUCUGGCUCUCUGGCCCUGUGAGACAUCAGAAGGAUUUGCCCCACACAUAAAAUAUCCCAAGACAUUCAGUGUCACUGACCUCAGAGAAUGACCAAAUAAAAAUCCAAGAAGUGCUCCUGGAGCACCAUGCCUUGCUAGGAAUGCAUCAAAUCCAAGUGUUUCAUUAUUAUUGAGGUUUAAUGAAUAAGCAUCCAGCUUUAAUGGCACUGGAAGGUUUCUAACAGUCUAAUUUGAUAGCUUUUAUUUUAAUGCUCUUUUCUCCUGGAAGAUCAGUUAAAAGGGUGGGGUUUUUUGUUUGUUUGUUAAGUUUUUUUACCUAACAAUCUCUGAGAAAGUAAAAAUACUCAUCUAUAGCAUGUUAUUGAAAUAGUUUUUUGCCAAGCAUGCAAUAAUAUUUCUGUCAGUGUAUGAUAUGGAGGCAGGAGCCAACACUGUCCCAUUUUCUUACACCACUAGAGAAUUUGGUGUAGAAAGUUCACCUGCCAGCAAACCACAUUCUAUUUAUGCUUUGUCCCAUCAUCCCUCUAAUGCCUGUCUUUUUCCCUCUCUUCCCUGCCUGUCAGGCAGCAAUGAAAUGUGCCUGUGUCAAAAUCAUUCAUGCCAACCUUGUCAAAAGACUUACUUUUCCCCCCUAUUUCACUGAAAAUGUCAAAAUAUGGGACAGUUCUAUGGUUCUUUUACUGAAUGAAAUGUAACAACAUUCUCCCUUUGCUGCAGCAACUAAUAUUUAGAUCAGGAAGAAAGAUUCCUGCCUAAAAUUUACAUGCAAACCUGUACAGGCCAGAACAGGAUGUUUUAGGACAUGAUUUUGUUUGUUCUUCACUUUUAAUAGUAAGCCGCAAUGUACUCAUUAAAAAUUGGCAAGAACACAGACAGAUAAAUUAAAAAAGAAAAAAAGUUUUUGUGCAGUGGCCAAAAAAAAAAAAAAACAUUAGAUGCAGAGGAAAACUCAGGCCUAUUUUACAUUGCAAAAACUAGAAACCUGUGUAGAAACCAGGGCAGAAAGCUACAACAUUACAAGAAGAGAAAAAUUAAAUUUUAGAAUAGAAAAAGCAAACCCAAUUGCAGUCAGAAAGCAUAAUUAUACCUUUUUCUUGUAGAAAAAAAAUAUACAUUGUCAGAAUUGUACAUGGCUGUAACUGUAGUCAUUUAAUUUGAUUUUUGUUCAUUAAUUACAGAGUUGAAGCUUCAUUUCACCAGAUUCAGGGGUGAAAUGAAGGAUCUGUUGGCUAAUAUCUUUUUCAAAAUUGUGGCCAUAGAACUUAAAAUAUAUCUGAGACAUAAAAGGAGGGAAGUUCUGUCUAUGUUUGCAUGGAAGUUGCUGCAGCAAUCCUGCUCUAAGCAAACAAGAGGUAUCCAAAGGUUGUAGCAAAGACUCUUUUCCUGUCUCUGAUGCAGUGGGAAAAAUGGAAAAGCUUUUGGUAUCAGUUCAUUCUUCCCAUCUGUGAGUCAUAAAAGUUUGUCUUUCUAUCCCCUGGUGUUGGGCUAAUGUGCUUACAAGUCUAACUGCUUUCCUCUUGUGCAACAGAAAAAUAAAAUAUGCUGUGUUUACCCACAAACCCCAACUUCCAUUUUUUUCCCAUUUUCCUUGCGUAUGGAACAUCCUUGAGAGCACUUCAAAUAAUACUGUGAACUUAUUUCACCUUCACAGAGGUAUUUUACCUUUCAACUCCUUCCCUGAAUGUGCCCAGGACCUUGUUUAAUUAAUUUCACCACAGGCUCUAUGAUUCAUAGAAGUAAAAUUGUUUUCAUACUAAUGUUUCCUUGUUCACUGUUGCUCUCUUCCUGCUUCCUUUAUGUCUGACCCCAGACAGUCUCAUUUGGCAAUCCCAAAUCAGAAUAGAUUUGUUUUUCAAAAGCCAUGGGCAGAGGUAAUGACACUCAGAAUCCCAUGAAGUGGGUGUUUCAGAUAUUGAAUAAACAGCACCUGAUUUCCACUGACCAAAGACAGGAUCAUUAAGAUGAAAAGAGAAAAAAAACCCUCACAAACCUCAACAAACAAAGCUCUUUAGAUACAUUUAGAACAGUGGGAACUAGACAAGAAUGUGAUAAUAUAUUUCCCAACCAGGGGAAACUGAGCUGGAAAUAAUUUCAGUCAGGAAAGCAUAUUCAACUUUGAACUUUUCUUUCAAAGGUGAGAGCUUUCAUGCAGGGAGUUCAUGUGAAUGGGUGUGAAUUCGUGGGAAAUAGCUUCUGAAGUGGUAGCCACAUUAAAUUUAAAAUCACUCUGCCUCUGUCUGUGGUGUAAAUGUGAUCCAAAAAAGUGGAAAUGUUCUGAUGGACCAAUCUUCUUAUCUCUCCUAAGAUCUUCUUUUGCUUUCUCUGUGAUAUGUGAAAUUCUGUAAAAUCCCUUCUUGC